UACCAGCACCCCGAGUGGUCGGGACGAUUAUUGGGCCUAAAGCAUCCGUAGCCGGUUCUGCAAGUCCUCCGUUAAAUCCAGCUGCUCAACAGAUGGGCCGCGGAGGAUACUACAGAGCUAGGAGGCAGGAGAGGCAAGCGGUACUCAGUGGGUAGGGGUAAAAUCCUUUGAUCCAUUGAAGACCACCAGUGGCGAAGGCGGCUUGCCAGAACGCGCUCGGACGGUGAGGGAUGAAAGCUGGGGGAGCAAACCGGG
rnacentral:rRNA from 1 species